UACGUAGGGGGCUAGCGUUGUCCGGAAUCAUUGGCGUAAAGCGCGUGUAGGCGGUCCGGUAAGUCAGCUGUGAAAGUCAAGGGCUCAACCCUUGAAAGCCGGUUGAUACUGUCGGGCUAGAGUCCGGAAGAGGCGAGUGGAAUUCCCGGUGUAGCGGUGAAAUGCGCAGGAUAUCGGGAAGGAACACCAAUGGCGAAGGCAGCUCGCUGGGACGGUACUGACGCUGAGAGCG
rnacentral:rRNA from 1 species